rnacentral:ncRNA from 1 species
UGAAUUAGAGGGCAAAGCUGUUGUGAAACAGUGACGCAAAGCUAAAGGGACUUUUAUAAGUUAGCCAGUUACUCGA